rnacentral:lncRNA from 1 species
AAACCCAGAUAAAAAGGCCCUCUGUUGCACCAGUGCCAUCCUCCUGCUACUCAAGUCCUGAUAGACUUUGGAGAAACUGAUUCUAAGAUUCCAGAAAGAUGUCUUAUCAGCAGCAGCAGUGCAAGCAGCCCUGCCAGCCACCUCCAGUAGUGUGCCCUCCCAAGUGCCCUGAGCCUUGCCCACCUCCAAAGUGCCCUGAGCCCUGUCCACCUCCAAAGUGCCCUGAGCCUUGCCCACCUCCAAAGUGCCAGCAGAAAUGCCCUCCUGUGCCACCUCCCCAACAAUGCCAGCAGAAGUGCCCACCCAAAAGCAAGUAGAAGCAUCAGCUUUUAUCUGGAUCAGGAAAGGAUGAGGACAGUUGACUCACCUAGCUCCACAGCUCCACCUUCAUCUUCUCUUUAAAGCCUAUCAUGGAUACAGAAGAAGCUUCUCCACCCUUCAGCUGGCAAUAUGCCUGUGAUGACUCCUCACAGCCAGAGAUAUUGCCUUCCUGAGGCUGCUGCGCCACUUUCCUCUGGGAGGACAACUGAGAAAGCAUCACAGCACUUCAGAGGGAAGAGCAACAGCUCUCCUCCUGGGCACCAUCAUGGGACUGUCUCCCUGUAUUCUGUGUCUGUCACCUGGGGACGGGUUUCUAUCAGCUGGGCAAUUGUUACUUAUCCUCCACUUCCUGAGUAAACUACAAUUUCUUUGUGUGGCAUAAAAAUGUUUUCUUUCU